UGAUUGAGCCUGUCUGACAUCUCUUCUUCCUCUCCUCGUUGGCCGUUCUCAACCAUCCAUCCACGCUGCCGCUGCUUCUUCUCCACCAUCUCAACCCCCCUGCUGUUGCUGCUGCUGCUGCUGCUGCACCUAGGUCGGCUGCUCUUCUUCCAUCUACCCGUUGAAAGCCUGCUGCUGCUUCGUUGCUUCACCUGCUUGCACUCACAGGUGGAUCUAAAGCAGGCUGAAUGGAAGCUGUUUCAGUUAAUCACUCCAGGCUCGCCCUUUCAAGUUAAUCACUCUUCCAGCUCAGGUGCAGUGCAGUCAUAUGUGCAGCUUAUGGUAUCAAGAAACUUGUGUGCGAACAAGUGAACGCCGUGAAAGAUACAAACUCAAUGUCCCUACAUCCCACAAUGUGACAGACUGACAGUUGACCAACGAGUCACUGCACUUUAUGAAAAUGCUGCUAAACUUGUUGGUAUGGAGGGCCCAACCAAUGAGAUUGUCAGUUGGCUGAAAGAUGAGGAGAAGAAGUUGAAGGUUGUAUCGAUAGUUGGUUUUGGAGGUUUGGGUAAAACAACACUUGCCAAUCAGGUAUACCAUAAGCUGGAGGGGGAAUUUCAGUGUGGUGCAUUUGUACAACUGUCUCAAAAGCCAAAUUUUCCCAAACUUUUGCAUAGUUUACUAACCAAACCUCCAAAAAAUCUUUUCAUGAUUGUGAUUUAAAUGUUCUUCUCGACCAA